GAUGAAGAACGUAGCGAAAUGCGAUAAGUAGUGUGAAUUGCAGAAUUCAGUGAAUCAUCGAAUCUUUGAACGCACAUUGCGCCCCUUGGUAUUCCAUGGGGCAUGCCUGUUCGAGCGUCAUUUGUACCUUCAAGCUUUGCUUGGUGUUGGGUGUUUGUCCCGAGGGACUCGCCUUAAAGUAAUUGGCAGCCAGUGUUUGGCUUUGAAGCGCAGCACAAGUCGCGAUUCAAGGCUACACGCCCGCUUCCACAAGCCUUUUUUCACUUUUGACCUCGGAUCAGGUAGGGAUACCCGCUGAACUUAAGCAUAUCAAUAAGCGGAGGA
rnacentral:misc_RNA from 1 species